CUCAAGUAGAUUUAUUGGACACCGCAACGUUUCGACCUGUACUCUGGUCUUUAUCAAGUUUGAUAAAGGCCUGGGUACAGGUCAAAAUGUUUUGGUGCCUCUUAGCCAAAGUGAUAUUCAUAAAAUUGUCUUCCAUGUCAAUAAAUGUUUGAAAGGAGGAUCACAAUGCACAUAGGACAAUAUUAAAAUACCACAGAAGAACCAUUUCUGAAAGGGAAGCAUUUUGUUGAUCCAUUUUACAAACAGAACUAGUGGUUCUGCAGCAGCUUUCCAGAAAAGGCAAAUUGUUGUAAUCUUUAAGGAAGCAUAUUUAAGACUUUUAAAACCCAGGUGGAGGAAUUUAACAUUACGUGCAAUUGAUCCCAGAUGGUAUAAAUAUACACAUAGCUUUGCAUCAAAAACCAAGUGUUUGCAGAUUUAAGUACUCUUCCAAAAAUUUUAGUUGCAGUCCAUAGUGCUCCAUCAACCUCAGGACAGGCAGAAAACUGAGGUAUAUAUGAAAGUGGCAUUGCUUACACUUUGGGUGGGAUCAGGAGGUGGUUUUUAAAAGCCUUCGUUUUCAGUGCUCUGCCUGUGAUGUAAAGGUAGCUGGAACCAGAUACAAGUGCCUCCUACACAAUAUCAGUUAGAAAGUGG